rnacentral:rRNA from 1 species
AACGGAUAUCUCGGCUCUCGCCACGAUGAAGAAUGUAGCGAAAUGCGAUACUUAGUGUGAAUUGCAGAAUCCCGUGAACCAUCGAGUCUUUGAACGCAAGUUGCGCCCGAGGCCUCGGCCGAGGGCACGCCUGCUUGGGCGUCGC